rnacentral:lncRNA from 1 species
CUCAGCAUAGUUAAAACAUCAUGUCCUGAGCUGAACUAAGAAGAGGCUAGAGGGAGGUAUAUAUCGGUAGCAUAAAUAAUACUGCAGCUGAGUGGAGGGAGAGGAAGAGAGAGGAGAAACAGAGGGUUAAAAAACAAGCUUAUCUUCAGCUCUCCUGCCCUACUCUCUGUUCCACACUCCCUGAAUGAUUUUUAGUCUUUAUUGUUUUUAAUUUUUAAUUGCGCAUCUUGUAAAGGCAUUUAAAGUAUACAGAAAAAGGAACUCAGAAGCCAGAAAAAAUGACCAAGACACAGUCUCCAUCUUCAAAAGGUCACAGUCCUUCAGAGAAGACAGACAACUAAAUAAAUUCCAGCUGACUAUAAUGUAAAUAUGUAUAGAAUCAUAUGGAAGCAUACAAGAAAAAGCAAUGAUUUACUUGACAGACAAUGGAAAUUUCAAAGCAAAAAAGUAUAUUUCAUAUGGUUAUUAGGGGAUGAGCACAACUUUGUCAAGCAGACAAAGGAAUAAAAAAUUGCAAAUAACAAUUAUUGAGCUCAUUGGUGCCAGAAACUGUGCUAAGCCCUUUCCACAGAUCAUCUUAUUUAAUCCUCUCAAUAGCCCCAAUGAGGAAGAUGUUUUGAUUAUCUUUACCCAACAGAUGAUGAAACAGGCUUAGAAAGAUGAGUAACUUGCCCAGGAGGGCAUUCCAGGCAUGGAGAAACAUGCAUGCAAGGCACUAUGUGUGAAUAAGUAGGAGGAAUUAGGGAAACUAUAGCAGUUUAAUUGCUUAGGAUGCAAUGCAGGAGGAAUCCUAUGGGAAAAAGGCAAGAAGUUGAGAUAAGGACCAUAUGUGCAAAAGCUAUAUCUAGAGUUUGAAAUAAAUCUAUUAGGCAGC